rnacentral:rRNA from 1 species
UAAGACGAACCGAGCGAACGUUGUUCGGAAUCACUGGGCUUAAAGGGCGCGUAGGCGGGCGGUUAAGUCUGCGGUGAAAUCCUCCAGCUCAACUGGAGAACUGCCGUGGAUACUGGCUGUCUCGAGGAAGGUAGGGGCGUGUGGAACUAUCGGUGGAGCGGUGAAAUGCGUUGAUAUCGAUAGGAACUCCGGUGGCGAAGGCGACACGCUGGACCUUUUCUGACGCUGAGGCGCGAAAGCCAGGGGAGCAAACGGGAUUAGAUACCCCGGUAGUCCUGGCCCUAAACGAUGGGUACUAGCUAGUAGAGUUCACAUGGCUUUACUGGCGAAGCAAAAGUGCUAAGUACCCCGCCUGGGGAGUAUGGUCGCAAGGCUG